rnacentral:lncRNA from 1 species
AGCAAUAACUGGAUAUUUAUUUUAGAGUAUGGCUGUUCAUCUUUUAGGUGUGAAAUGGCCCCGUAUAGAGAGUAGAGCCCCAGCCAGGCCUGGCCAGUCCAAUUCCUUCACGAAUUUCACGUCCAUGUACUGAGCGGAAAGCAGAUUCCACUUCCCUCUUGGAUGUUCAGGACCCAACAGAUAUCAGGAAAGAGAGGACUAAGGCAAGGCCAGCCUGGGCUGCAGGUGUGUGGUCUGCCAGGCGCGUGCCUUGGCACAGAGACACAGACGGACAAGGCAGGGCUCGGGGUCAGAAGGCCCACCGCGCUGCACAGACCCCGCCAGCCGCAUGCGGCUGUUCACGUUUAUCUCAUUAAAACUCGGCAAAGUUGAAAAUUCAUUUCCUGAGAUACACCAGUCCCAUUUCAGAGCUCUGAUGGCCACCCGUGUCGUCAGUUGGGACAGUGAGUUCUAGAACCUUCCAGCACAGCAGAAAGUCUCCUGGACUGCGCCGUGUGGGGGAGGCUGAGGGUAGAUGCAGCUUGUGGCAGGGCAGUGAGCCAAGAGGUGCUGCGGUGCAAACCGGGGGUGGAGACGAGGAGGCCGUGUGCGGUGGGGCUGUGGGGAGCCCCGGCCUCGUUCCUGCUGGAAGCUCGGGACAGGCCCUGAGCUCCCAGAGCCGGCGUCCCGUGUCCAGCGGGGCCUCGGUCAGCUCAUGCCUCCCGUUCCUCUGUCCUGCCGAUGACCGGCUCCCGGGAAGACCCGCCAUGCCCAGGGAGGUCUGCAGCUGGCAUUUCCCCUUCGAGAUUCAAGGCGUGUCACACCACCCAGUCUCCACCCCCAGAGGCCCCUUUAGUUGUGCCCGGGGUGCAAAGCAGCCCGGCAGUGCCACUGGCUCCCCUCUGGUGGCCGACAACCACAAACAGUCUGAGCCCAGCCUGAUGCCCGCCCGUCACUAACCCAGAGGCCCAUCCCUGCCCUGUCUGGACCAGGCCCUUAUACCCACAGUCUGCUUCUGUCUGUGUCUCCACCUCCCGAAUGACCUAAAUCCACCCAUGCCGUUUUGUCCUUUCAGUGACAGAGGGCACCAAGGGUGGCCCUCUCAGCAGGCGCCACUGUGACGCCGCAGUUGAGGCAGAAGGCAGAAGGUGGGUCUUGUCUGGGAGGAGGGGGCUUUUCUGCUCAGCGUGGACUCGGUGCCCAAGCCUGGGUUUCAGGGCACCCUUACCUCUUUUGCGCUUUGAAUCAUUUUUUCUCUUGGCUAAAUGUUUAUUCUGGAGUUGAUGGAGGCUGCCUGUCCGCAAUGACAUCUAAGGCAUCAGGGCUCCAAACGGCUGUUGGUAAAAGACGCAUUGGGGGCGUGGAAGGCUUCGGACAGUUGAGCCUCUCUGUGACUCAGUAUCUCCACUCGCCGGCUGGCACAAGCAUGGAAGCAGCGACAUAAAUGUUGAGUGGGUCCCAUUGGUGAUAUAGAUCAAACGAAGCCCCUAGAUGUGGUCAGGGUUGGGAAGCAGCCUGAGUUUGGACGGCUGCAUACGGGGCGAUGCAGGCGCAGCUGUAGAGUCUGAGAGUGGGUGCUGGGCAGCAGGUGGCCAGGGACCAGGGGCUCCAGCAGGGGGGCAGCACCAGAGGCAGUGAGGUUUGGGUGAACUUUGUGGAGUCUUCUGUGAUGGUGGAUUCAGGGACAAGGAUCCAGAGCCUGGAAGGACUGAGAAAAGUCAAACAGAGCCCCAAGCCUGGGAAAAAUAGAGCAUCAGGCCAGGAAGUGGGCUCAUAGUAAUGAGGCAGAAAGAUACACACUGGACCCAUGGACACAAGGAAGACGCUAACAGCCCAGCUGGAAUUUGCUCACCACAGAAAAAUCCUGAAAUGAUUGUGACUGCCAACUGAAGCCCUGUGUGUGCCAGCUGUUUAUAAACCCAGACCUAUACACACCCGAUGGGACGCAUACUUCUCCAUCAUAACACUGGACAAUGUUGGCUCCACCCUCAGGCAGGAACUGCCCUCAUGGAAACAGGAUGGCUGCCUGAGCACCAGACUUGCAUCCUAUCUCCCUGAGCUACCCCAGUCAGAGAAAUUUUUUGGUUUCCUGGUACAUGCAAACGUUAUGUUUACACUGCACUGUUGUCUAGCAUGUCUAAGAAAACAAUGUGCGUAUCUUAAUUUUAAAAUUCUUCAUUGCUAAAAAAGGCUAACAGUGAAGCUUCAGCCAGUCACAAUAGUCACGUCUAAGAUCACUGAUUGCACAUCACCAUAGCAAGUGUAACAAUGAUGAAAAAGUUUUGAAAUGUUGCAAAAAUUACCAGAAGUGACACCGGGACACAAAGUGAGAAAAUGUUGAAAAAAUGCUCAAUGCAGAGUUGCCACAAACCCUCAACUUGUAAAAACUUGAAGCGUGAUAAGCCAAAUGCAGUAAAACAAAGUGUGCCUCUACCGAGCGGGCAGAACCACAGAGGUCAGCUUUGUCCUGGGGCCGGGCCACCUGAGCUGUGCUCCUCCAGCCUCUGACAUGUUCACUGUCCUGUGAUGUUAGGAGCAUCUGCUGGACGUUGAUCGGGGGCAGCUGACACUGAUUCUCACCUCGUGGACUUCAGGGCUGGAAGACAGAGAACUACGCUUCUCCACGGGUGAGAAGCUCUCACACAGUGUUCGAAAGGCAGAAGACACCUGUGUUUCUCUGGCAGCCAUAGAGGACGCAUUUGGCAAAUGGACAUUUUUGAAACUGCCUCCACGUUCCCUUGCUAGCCAGCCACUUGAGGCUGCAAGGCUGCCCUGUCGGCAAGGCUUUCUUGCAGGUUUCUGACCACUGGGCAAUGGCAUCAGCUUGUGGAGCCUUUGAAUUCCACUCAAACCUGACCAGCCUGAAAGCUGGAUACAACCUCUCCUGAAGCCCCUCUACCAGGCUUUCUUAAGGUUUGGCAAACACCUAUUUUCCUGCAUCUAGUCCCUUCCCUUUGAAAUACCUAGAGUUGCUUCAGUUUUCCCACCUGGACUCUGACCGUAACAGUGAACUUGAGUGGAACAUUUUAAGCUCUAGUCUAUCUAAACAUCUUUUUCUGCGGAGAAAACAGCCUGUCGUGUUUAUCAGUGUUCAGUCUUCUUCCCAGUUCCUGCACCUCCUGGAACCAUAGCCACUAGCCAGUCCCGUGGCUUCUGACGUUCAAGUGAAUUACACCGGAAGCGAAGUGAGGCUGUAUUUCCUCAGCUGCUCUCAUGACAGGAGAGCUCACACCUGUCCUGUCAUAGAACACCCCAUCGCUGCAGAGAGUUCUGGACAGCGCUGCUCUAGGCAGUCACGUGUAAAUCUCCACCCCUUUUGACAUGAGUCGUCGUCUUCUUAACGGUGCCUGGAAGGGUGAUGCCUUCCCAGUCGCUUGUGUUAUAAAUGGAGAAACUGACACCCCGGGUCAGGCAGUAACUCGGUAUCACCCGGGGGCCCACCAAAGCCCCAGCUUCCUUCCCUCCGCUAACCUGAGUCAUCGAGCAGUGCACAUCAGAAAUGUGUGUUUUCAUGUCAAAUGCAACACUAGUCUAGGAAAAAACUUUAAAUGAUUCAGAACACAACGCAGGAGUUCCCGUUGUGGCUCAGCGGGUUAAAGACCCCCCCAUCGUGUCUGCAGUUCAAUCCCUGGCCUUGCUCAUGGUCCCUGGCCUUGCUCAUGGAUUGAGGCUCUGGUGUUGCUGCGGCUGUGGCUGGGGUGUAGGUCACAUUCACAGCUUGGAUCCUGCAUUGCCGUGGGUGUGGCACAGGCUGGAAGCUGCAGCUCCCAUUCGACCCCUAGCCUGGGAACCUCCAUAUGCUGCAGGUGCUGCCCUAAAAGACAGAAAAGAAAAGAAAGGAAAGGAAAGAUAAGAAUAAAUAAACGAAUAAAUGAAAAACAUCAAACAAGCAAAAACUCCACUACAAACAAUAAAAGAAAACCAAGUAGCCACUCUUAACAAAUAACCCAUUAGCAUUGACUUUCCAAUGGAUUUAACCAAGCACUCUUUAAAUAAGACGGUCCUAGGUUUCUUUUAAUUAUUCCUAUUCCCCAAUUGAGCCAUGUUUUGCAUCUUAUUCUGAUUCAGAGACUCCGAGCAGGACUUUAAAUGACGUGUGGUGACAGCUUCUGUGGAGCCGAGUGACAGAGGCCAGGGUUCCCUCUGCAAAUCAUGGAACACGUCUGUUUUCUACGCGUUGGUCCCUGGGGGAUAAAUCCCUUCCUGAUAAAAAGGCUUAACUGGGUACUUUUGUCCAGUUGCUAUGGGAGCAUGUUUUCUUGGAAGGAGCCGUGAGUGUUUUGGAGGAAGGAGUAAUUACUUCUUAGGAGGCGUUCCCCUCUUGAAGCCUUUCUGGAAAGGAGCGCCCAGGCUCUGACCACCUGGGAGCCCGGGGGAUGUGCCACCCGGACGGAGGCGGAGAGGAAGACGACGGGACUGGCGUCGCUGCUCCUGAGACUCAAGUUUCGAAAACGGCGCAGAGAACCGUCCAGGAGAGCAACGUGCGUUUCCCCAGCAUCCGCUCUCCUCCCCAGAACAGCGUCGCGGUCUGUCGGAGGCUGGGCGGCCUUCCAAAGGUUAGAGAUGAGGCCAAAACAUAGCAUUCUGACCUUUUCGGAUGGCCAUUUCUGUCUUGGAAAUGCUAAAUACUGUCGCAUCACAGUUGCAAGGGCCCAUCCCUCCAACACAGCGGGGCGGGGAAGCUUCUGGGGACCUGGCCCGGGAGGCUUGCGUGCGCCAACUCUGAGCCGCGUGCUGCUCCGAGGCUCGGGAGAGGCGGCUGCAUGGGAGAGACCUGGGCAGGGGGCCCGUCCUGGCCGGCCCUUGGAUAGAUGUAUCUGCAGGCUUUUCUAGUGUCUUCAGUAUUUCCUCUUUCCCUUGCCUUUCUUUCAUCAGCAGCAGAUGCCUGCCCACCGACGACGCCGGAGCACUGAAGUUCACGGCAGAAGGACACUGACCGCAGGGGUGUUUUGAACUAAGCACGCCACUUUCUCCAGCCUCUGGGGCUGAGAGUUUCCUGGCAGGGCCAGCGGCCACCUCUCCUGUAACAGAGGCUGCCAGUGCCCUGCCCUCAUGCCCUCACUCUGCCUGAA